rnacentral:rRNA from 1 species
AUACGGAAGGUCCGGGCGUUAUCCGGAUUUAUUGGGUUUAAAGGGAGCGCAGGCGGAGAUGCAAGCGUGACGUCAAAUUUCGGGGCUCAACCCCGUCUCGCGUCGCGAACUGCGUCCCUUGGUUGCGGGAAGGGGAGGCGGAACUCGUGGUGUAGCGGUGAAAUGCAUAGAUAUCACGAAGAACUCCGAUCGCGAAGGCUGCCUUCCGGUCCGGCAACGACGCUCAUGCUCGAAGGUGCGGGUAUCAAACAGGAUUAGAUACCCUGGUAGCCCGCACAGUAAACGAUGGACACCCGCGGUUUGGCCUGUAUGGCUGAGCCGUCUAGCGAAAGCGUUAAGUGUCCCACCUUGGGAGUACGCCAUCAACGGUGAAACUCAAAUGAAUUGACGGGG